rnacentral:rRNA from 1 species
CAGUAGCCGCGGUAAUACGAAGGGGGCUAGCGUUGUUCGGAUUUACUGGGCGUAAAGCGCACGUAGGCGGAUCGAUCAGUCAGGGGUGAAAUCCCAGAGCUCAACUCUGGAACUGCCUUUGAUACUGUCGAUCUGGAGUAUGGAAGAGGUGAGUGGAAUUCCGAGUGUAGAGGUGAAAUUCGUAGAUAUUCGGAGGAACACCAGUGGCGAAGGCGGCUCACUGGGCCAACACUGACACUGAGGCACGAAAGCGUGGGGAGCAAACAGGAUUAGAUACCCGAGUAGUCCCUGUCUCUUAUAC